GAUGAACGCUAGCGGCAGGCUUAACACAUGCAAGUCGAGGGGUAGAAGUCUUCGGACUUUGAGACCGGCGCACGGGUGCGUAACGCGUAUGCAAUCUGCCUUGUACAAAGGGAUAGCCCAGAGAAAUUUGGAUUAAUACCUCAUAGUAUUAUGUUUUGGCAUCGAGAUAUAAUUAAAGUCACAACGGUGAAAGAUGAGCA
rnacentral:rRNA from 1 species